UGUCGUUGAAAUCAUCGAAUGUUGUGUCACUGUCAAUUUUGUUGUGAGAAGAUUACGUUGAUAUAAAUUUUACGUGUUUUUGAGGCUUAAAUGUGGAGAUUAUGUGGUCGGCGAAUUUAUUUCCUUGUUUGGCAUCAUUUAGAUUGUUUAGAUGCUUUAAGUUAAGAGAUUAGGAAGCAUCCCAACACGAUACCGCCUCAAAGUCAAUAAACCUGCAUUUUAGUAGAUUUUUAUUUAUUUAUUUUUUUUAUGCAUAACAAGGCAGGUAUUUGACCACAAUCGCACAUGAUGUUAAGAGGGAUGCAGUCUAGGAUGGUACAUAUCUGCCCUGUAAGAUACCUACUUAUGUGACAAAUUGCCGGAAAGAUAGUCUUAUGGCAACAAAAAGAGUGUCCUUGGAACACAAGGUUAUAUUAUGUGCUAUGCAUUAAGAUGCAUCCAGUUCAUACCAAGGCACUGAUGGUAUGAAGAAGCAUUUGGAAUUACUUAACCAAUGCUCUCAAUACCCCCAACAUACUCGGAGAAGUAGGUAGGUACUCAUGCCUACAUAAGAUUUAUCCAUGAACUAUUUUAUACAAAUGUACAUAUGCAUUCAGUUCUUAAGAUCAUACAGAACAAAACACAACAGGGUGAUUCCAUACCUUUGCUCGUAAGUGUUUUAGCCAGAAAGUUUUAGAUCUUAAUAAACUUAUUUACCUAAACUAAUAACUAUAAAAUUAAUGUUAUAGUAUUCUACUCAUCAACAUUUAUUAAUCAUUACAGGUACCUACCCUACCCAAACCUUACAAAGAUCCAGCUUCGGCACAGAAUAAGUAAUAGGACUAAGGUUCCUGGGCACACUUAAGAAAUACCAUCAACACUUGCGGGCAAAUAGACAUUAAUGGGAUUAAAACAAAAUAUAUGUGUGACAAUUUAUUUAAUAAAUACUUAUAAAACAUUAAACAAUAUUUUGAAUUUCAAUUAAAACAUAGGUACCUAACAGUCUUAAUUUUCUAU